AACGUAGGACACAAGCGUUAUCCGGAGUUACUGGGCGUAAAGGGCGCGUAGGCGGCUCGGCACGUCCGUUGUGAAAUCGCCCGGCUCAACUGGGCGGGGUCAGCGGAUACGGUCGAGCUUGAGCAAGCUAGGGGGCAAUGGAAUUCCCGGUGUAGUGGUGGAAUGCGUAGAUAUCGGGAGGAACACCAGUGGCGAAGGCGGUUGCCUGGGGCUUUGCUGACGCUGAUGCGCGAAAGCGUGGGGAGCGAUCCGG
rnacentral:rRNA from 1 species